UACAGAAAAUUUUAUUUGAAUUUUGCUACUGUUGUUCAACCAUUGACUCAUCUUUUACGGAAAGAUUCUAAAUUCAUCUUGAGUGAGAAUUGUCAAAAUGCUUUUGAAAAUAGCAAAUCACUUUUAGUAAAUAGUCCAGUUUUGAUCACUGACUACUACGAUAUCAUCGCAGGAAAAGCAAUACCUACUAGUAUGUCUCGCCAUCCGUUGCAGGCGAGACAAAAAAUCAAGACCAUAUAGAUAGGACUGAGAACUAAUGAAAGACGUUUAUUGCUGCCAUGUUUUCAUAUGUUCCUGUCCUAAUUCACAAGACCUAUAAGUGGUUUUCACUGGAACAUAGUGGUUUGUUAUACUGUUUGUUUGUCUUUGUUAAAUUCAUUCAUAUCUUUUUUCUGCUCUCGUUGAUUUACAUUUGGCAAAACAAUACAAUGUAGUUUCUGUUUUAUGAUUGGUGACUUUAUGUGUCCUCCAAAUAUAUAUUUUUGUUGUUCAGUAGCUUUCUAAUUGAUAAUUAUCCAACCUAGAUGUUUAAUGUACUUAGUCCAAGCAAAUUUUCGUCAGUGGGUCUCAUGGUAGCAAGCUCACCUGGGGCAUUGGAAUCAAACCUCAGCUUGGUCAAAUAAAGAUUUAAAUUGGUAUGGUCAGCUUCUUGACCAAGCAAGCCGCAUAUAGGAUUAAGAGCAUACACUUGUGACGUUUUCAACUUGGAAUCAGAAUAAAGUCAGAAUAAAGUGUCUCAAUUGGGUCUUUCUCUGAACUAUUUAUCGUGUGAGUUAGAACCAAUUAAUUGAAUCAGUGUAGAAAUAAAUGUGGAUAGUGUCCACAUGUGGACACAGAUGAUGCCCCCACUUGCAUAUCAUAAAGGUUAUAAAGAGACAUAACUGAAGAACAGUAAAAGUGACACUACCCAAAUUUGAACUUGAUCUGAGUUUUGUGGUAAUAAGCAUUGUGUGUAAGUCUCAUAACAUUUGGUUGAGGCUAACUUAAGUAGAGAACAGAAACUAAAAAUUCAGCAAUUUUUCUAUUUGUAAACACACUUAACUCUAGAACGGUGGUGUAUAAAUUUUAUAACAUUUAGUUGAGACAAACUAAAAAAUUCAGCAAUUUUUAUGUUUAUAAAGGGACAUAACUCAAGAAUGGUAAAAGUGUCACCAUCAAAUUUCGUACUUAAUCUGUACUAUGUAGUAAUAAGCAUUCUGUAUAAGUUUCAUAACAUUUGGUUGAGGCAAACUAAAGUUAGAAAACGGAAACAAAAAAUUUGUACUUGAUCUUAGUUUUGUGGUAAUGAAUAUUGUGUAUAGGUUUCAUAAUGUUUGGUUGGGGCAAACUUAAGUUACAGAAUGGAAACUAAAAAUUUUGCAAUCUUUCGAUUUAUAAAGGGGCAUAACUCAAUAAUGGUUAAAGUGACACUACCCAAAUUCCAACUUGAUCUGUGUUUUAUCAGUGGAAGACAAAAUUAAACAUUGCAUUGUAUAAAGCAUUGGUUGUAGUUGAUUCAACUAUAAUCAUGGACAAAGGAAGAUAACUCCAAUUUUAAAAAUUACUUGAUAUUUAGAAGAAAAUAAAAAUUUUGCAAUUUUUCCAUUUAUUAAGGGACAUAACUCUAGAACGGUUAAAUCGACGCCACAAAAAUUCAAACUUGAUCUGUGUUUUGUGGUAACAAGCAUUGUGUAUAAGUUUCAUAACAUUUGGUUGAGGCAAACUUAAGUUAGAGAACGGAAACUAAAAAUUUUGCAAUUUUUCCAUUUAUAAAGGGGCAUAAUUCUAGAAUGGUCAAAGUGAUGCCACCAAAAUUCAAAUUUGAUCUGUGUUUUGUGGUAAUAAGCAUUGUGUAUAAGUUUUGUAACAUUUGGUUGAGGCAAACUUAAGUUAGAGAACAGAAACUAAAAAUUUUGCAAUUUUUCCAUUUAUAAAGGGGCAUAACUCUAGAACGGUUAAAUGACGCCAUCAAAUUUCGUACUUAAUCUGUACUAUGUAGUAAUAAACAUUCUGUAUAAGUUUCAUAACAUUUGGUUGAGGCAAACUCAAGUUAGAGAACGGAAACCAAUUUUGGGACGUACGGACGGACGUACGUACAUACAGACGGACAAGGGUAAAACUUAAUGCCCCCACCGCUACGGCAGGGGCAUAAAAAAAAACCAAAUUAUCCUUGAAUUUGCAAGAAGCAUUUACUGCUGAACAUUAUUCAGCCAGCAAUGAUUCAAUGAAGUCCAUCAAAUAAAUAAGAAAGAGAAUAAUAGUAUUUUGAGACACACUGACAAUUCAUAAGCAAUCAUAUCUUGUAUUGAAAUAUUUAAUAUUAAAUAACAAAGAAUUAACAAAAUAUUAUACCACCAUUUCAGCGAAUUAUAUCAAGAGUUUAAAAAAAGAACACUUGUGUUUUCUGCAAAGAUAUAAAAAAAAACAUUUGACUGCAAACAGUGCUUCAUACACCUAGCAAACUAAAAUAUAAUUUUAUGCUAGAUUACAUUUAAAGACAUAUAUAAA